CUUCCAGGACAUUCCAGAGACAAUCAGACUCUGCCUUCAGGGUCUGCCUCUGGCAUGAUUAGCUUUCUAAUCACUUUGGAGUGUCUUCAGAAGAACAUCCCUUCAUGUGGACUCUGGAAAGGUUUCUUCAAGCAUAAAUCAGUGGCACUUGAAGUUACAUUAAGGUUACAUCUCUCCCAGAUUGUGUGGAAAAGACCAGACGGUCAUCAGGGAAGAAUCCCGACUCAGUGGUUCUGGACCCAAGGAAGCAAGAUUAUUCCAAGGUGUGAAACAAAGGAAAACGGAAUCCCCACUCUGUGGAAAUAAUGUGGUCUUUAUUUGACCUGGAUGUAGCUGGGGUGAAAUCAAGAAAGGAAUUCCACAGAUAUGUUCUUUUUUUGGCGGUAAUUUUGGAAUUCCAGCACUUCACUUUGGAAACGCUACUUGAGACAGGAGGAAAAACGUCUGUCUUCCAUUUUGGUUGAAGAAAAAUGAACACAUUUCUACAAGAAACCAGGGUAGAAAAAUUGAUUAAUGAUUCACCACAACAUCCACUCCUCCCUUUUUUGCCCAGUGGCAAAUUUGUGAUAUUAAAGGGGUUUGUUUGUUUUUUUGAGACAGAAUCACUCUGUCACUCAAGCUAGAGUAUACAGUAUCUGGCUUCAGCCUAGCUCACAGCACCCUCAAACUCUUGGACUCAAGAGAUCCACUU